rnacentral:rRNA from 1 species
UUAAAAAACUGGUGAAGAAAGGGCCGGGCAAGACCGGUGCCAGCCGCCGCGGUAAUACCGGCGGCUCGAGUGGUGGCCACUAUUACUGGGCUUAAAGCGUUCGUAGCUGGUCUGUUAAGUCUCUGGGGAAAUCUACCGGCUUAACCGGUAGGCGUCUCAGGGAUACUGGCAGACUAGGGACCGGGAGAGGUGAGGGGUACUCCAGGGGUAGGAGUGAAUGCCUGUAAUCCAACCCGCNNGCUGCCNNCNUCNNUUUGUUGACGGUGGGUGAAAUCCUGUAAUCC